UACGUAGGGUGCAAGCGUUGUCCGGAAUUAUUGGGCGUAAAGAGCUCGUAGGCGGUUUGUUGCGUCGGCUGUGAAAUCCCGAGGCUCAACCUCGGGUCUGCAGUCGAUACGAGUAAACUAGAGUGUUGCAGGGGAGACUGGAAUUCCUGGUGUAGCGGUGAAAUGCGCAGAUAUCAGGAGGAACACCGGUGGCGAAGGCGGGUCUCUGGGCAACAACUGACGCUGAGGAGCGAAAGCGUGGGGAGCGAACAGG
rnacentral:rRNA from 1 species